rnacentral:rRNA from 1 species
AGUUAUCUGAACCUUCGGGGAACGAUAACGGCGUCGAGCGGCGGACGGGUGAGUAAUGCCUAGGAAAUUGCCCUGAUGUGGGGGAUAACCAUUGGAAACGAUGGCUAAUACCGCAUGAUGCCUACGGGCCAAAGAGGGGGACCUUCGGGCCUCUCGCGUCAGGAUAUGCCUAGGUGGGAUUAGCUAGUUGGUGAGGUAAGGGCUCACCAAGGCAACGAUCCCUAGCUGGUCUGAGAGGAUGAUCAGCCACACUGGAACUGAGACACGGUCCAGACUCCUACGGGAGGCAGCAGUGGGGAAUAUUGCACAAUGGGCGCAAGCCUGAUGCAGCCAUGCCGCGUGUGUGAAGAAGGCCUUCGGGUUGUAAAGUACUUUCAGUCGUGAGGAAGGUGGUGUAGUUAAUAGCUGCAUUAUUUGACGUUAGCGACAGAAGAAGCACCGGCUAACUCCGUGCCAGCAGCCGCGGUAAUACGGAGGGUGCGAGCGUUAAUCGGAAUUACUGGGCGUAAAGCGCAUGCAGGUGGUUUGUUAAGUCAGAUGUGAAAGCCCGGGGCUCAACCUCGGAAUAGCAUUUGAAACUGGCAGACUAGAGUACUGUAGAGGGGGGUAGAAUUUCAGGUGUAGCGGUGAAAUGCGUAGAGAUCUGAAGGAAUACCGGUGGCGAAGGCGGCCCCCUGGACAGAUACUGACACUCAGAUGCGAAAGCGUGGGGAGCAAACAGGAUUAGAUACCCUGGUAGUCCACGCCGUAAACGAUGUCUACUUGGAGGUUGUGGCCUUGAGCCGUGGCUUUCGGAGCUAACGCGUUAAGUAGACCGCCUGGGGAGUACGGUCGCAAGAUUAAAACUCAAAUGAAUUGACGGGGGCCCGCACAAGCGGUGGAGCAUGUGGUUUAAUUCGAUGCAACGCGAAGAACCUUACCUACUCUUGACAUCCAGAGAACUUUCCAGAGAUGGAUUGGUGCCUUCGGGAACUCUGAGACAGGUGCUGCAUGGCUGUCGUCAGCUCGUGUUGUGAAAUGUUGGGUUAAGUCCCGCAACGAGCGCAACCCUUAUCCUUGUUUGCCAGCGAGUAAUGUCGGGAACUCCAGGGAGACUGCCGGUGAUAAACCGGAGGAAGGUGGGGACGACGUCAAGUCAUCAUGGCCCUUACGAGUAGGGCUACACACGUGCUACAAUGGCGCAUACAGAGGGCGGCCAACUUGCGAAAGUGAGCGAAUCCCAAAAAGUGCGUCGUAGUCCGGAUUGGAGUCUGCAACUCGACUCCAUGAAGUCGGAAUCGCUAGUAAUCGUGGAUCAGAAUGCCACGGUGAAUACGUUCCCGGGCCUUGUACACACCGCCCGUCACACCAUGGGAGUGGGCUGCAAAAGAAGUAGGU